UCUGCUACUGUCUGCUGAUUGCCAUUUCUGUGUCUGACAUCUUUCUGUAGUGGUUAAAAUGCAUGCAAUAUAUAGUGGUGAUCUUGCCCAGAAAGUGCACCAAAGACGAAAUUGUUGUUAGAUCUAAUUCCAUAUGAAGUCUUGAAGCUUUGUUGAUGACAUUGGUAAAAUUCUAGUGAAUCGUAACUGUAUCUGUGAGUUGUCUUUUUUUACAUCAGAUAUAGCAAUCUGGGUUUGAUAGCUAAAUAUUCCUGCUACAGGUCAUAUGUUUUGUAUUCAGUAGAAGCCAUACUAAUCAAUUACUGUAUUUGCUGGUGUAUAAGAGGCACAUAUGCACCCCUAUUUUCCAAGUAUAUUUGUAAAAAGAAAAAAGCAAAUUUAGUAUAUUUCAUCAUACACUCAUUGAAAGAUAUUUUAAAGUAGUUUUGUAGGGGAAAAUGUAUGAUUCCAUUCAUGUAAAUACAAUAUACUGGAAUAAAGUAUAAAGACAAAAUUUAUCAUUAAUAGACUGUUAUAUGAGUGUUGUAAUUCAAUUCUAUCUUCUUUCAAAUCAACUAUAUAGUUGUUUAUAUUUUGGUCAAAAGAAUUAUCAUACAGGAUGCACAAAUGCACAAACCUAAAAUUUGGGUUGAAAUGUUUUGUGCUACCUUAAUCGUCCAUCAGGGUUGUGUGCCACUACUAUGGUUUUGUUGUCAUCCACUCAUUGCAACUAACUGAUAGGGGGAUGAAAGUUUAACACUAUUUUCACCGUUCUAGGAUAAUUUUUCAUUUAAGUAAUUAAAAAAUGUUUCUUAAAGUUAACAUAGUAAUUAAGUAAUGUAAGUCACGCAUCACUCGUGAGUUGUAUAUGCUGGGGGAGGAGAUAUCAUGAGACGAUGUGACUUCCCCACAUAACUACUGACAUAUUGUAAGCAAUGUUUUGUAAGUUUGUUCCAAGAGACUGAUAUUUUAGUAGGUUUGAAUAUUUUAUUAUUAGUAACAGCUAUUGUACCUAGCAGAUUUAUACUUAUCCAACCUCUUAGCCCACAACACUUGGUCUUCCAUCUAUGGCUGCAUCAGGCACAAUUUUUGGAUCCAUUUGAAAAUAAAAAAAACUGCAUUUUAUACACUAGCAAAUAUGGUAAGUUCUGAAGUAAAACUUUACUUACAAAUGAAUUUAUGAGUUGGAAAUAAAACCUGGGACCAAGAGCUUAGAAAAUACUCAAGUGUUUGUAAAUAUGAGAGAAAAUAGGACCCUACUACAGUCAGAAAAAUGGUUGUACUUCAUCUACAAAAAGUAGUAGGUAGAAACUCUAUAUAGUGUGCUCGUGCUCAGUUAAAAUUGUGGAUAUACAAGAGAUGUAGCAGUCUCACUGGCAGGCUGACAGAAAAGGUAGACUUUGUAUGUGUCAGAUACACAGGAGCACUGCAAGAAUGUGUUUAAGAAAUUCUUUUAAAUGUCUGGAAGGCUUCUUAAAAAUAGUUGAUAGUUUUUGUUACCUAGGUUAUCUAAUUAGGUGUAGGGACAAGUGUUUUGAAGAUAUAGUUAUCACAAUAAGAACAGGUUGGAAAAAGUUCAGGGAUCUACAAAUUUUGCAGGAUAACAAAGGGAUUCUGUCUUAGAGGGAAGAAUAGGAUUGUAUGAAUAGAAUUGUGUAGAAGUGCUGAGGAUUUGCAAAGAUUAGAAAAAUAUGGAGUAAACAUGCUCCACUGGACCAUAAUAUUUGUAUGCCUAAAGCAUUAGAGAGGAGACUGCAGUAGCAUGGAUGGUAUGUAAUUCAUAUGGAGGAUGAUAGCUGUAUAAAAAAAGAUUCAAGAAGAGGGUCUGUGAAAAAAGGAGAGCUACAAUGAAGUGCUGAAGACUGAUUUCAGGAUGCUGAACCUCACAAAGGAUAUAGCAAGCGAAUGACUGGUGACAUAUGGUACCUAAAUUUGCUUAAUGUGUAACUAAUUUUGGUUUCAAAUUUUGGCACAAAGCCAGAAGUUUGGAGGAAGAAGUAAGUCGAUUACAUCAGCCCCAGUGUUCAACUGGUACUUAUUUUAUUGACCCUGAAAGGAUGAAAGGCAAAGUUUACCUCAGUGGAAUUUGAACUCAGAAAGUGAAGACAGACUAAAUGCUGCUAGGCCUUUCACCUGGUGUGCUAACAAUUCUGCCAGCUUUUGCCACCUUCUGUAUAACUAAUAUUAAAUUGAAAUUACAACUGACAUUCUGUGGAAAGCAUAAAGUAACAAAGAAAAUAGCAUUGCUAUUUUCCCCUCUAAUCUUUAGUUUCCUUUUUUUCUUCGUCCUUGUUAUUCAAUGUGUCGUCUGUUCACUGAGUCGUCAUUUCUGUGUCAGCAAUGCUAUCGCUUCCUCCUCCCUUUCUCUCUCUUUAUCUCUUCUUUAGCAAUAUUUCUCCCCGUCUCCUGCUGCCUUUCACAUACUUUUCCCACUCUUUGAACACACACACACUUGAUUUUAUACCAUCUGUUAGCCAGGGUUUGGGAAUAUGACUGCAGAAAAGAGACAGCUAAACACUUUGCAAUAUUUCUUUUUUUUUUUUUUUUUUUGCCAUCAAAAUUUGGUGGUGGCAAUCAACAUUGUAAUUAUGUGUAUUAUAUCUGCAAUAAACGAGUACAAUAUGUGUAAUAGGUCAGCAAUAAAAGAGUACAAUAUGAGUAAUACAUCAGCGAUAAACGAGUACAAUAUGUGUAAUACGUCAUCACUAAACGAGUACAAUCAAAUUCUGUUAAACAUGGCGACGUUAAUUAAUUUUAAAAAAUGUGUUAAUUGAGGAUGAUUCCAAACUCCAGAAAGCCAUGGGAGACCAAACAUGCCUUCAGUUGGAUCUGUUUGCUAUUGUCCAGUGGGUGGAAAAAAACAAUAUGCUUCUAAAUGAAGAUAAGUUUGAUUUGAUCCACUUUGGAAAAGAGGAUAUUCUGAAACUACCAUUUGCUCUUCCCUCAGGCGACUCCCUAGUGUCAUCCAACAACAUCUGAGACCUUGGAGUAAUUGUGGAUAACAAUCUAAGCUGGAGUUCUCAUGUAAACAGCAAGGUUGACUUGGGCCCCUGCAAGAUGUGCUCCUGGAUUUUGAGAACUUUCCAGUCUAGAGAUCUCUACUUUUGCCUUGAAUACUGUUGCCCACUGUGGUCUCCCCACAUGAAGCAACUCCUUAUGAAAGUAGAAGCACUCCAGAGGUAAAUAACAAGAAAGAUAAAAUUAAAAAAACUCAAUCUCUACUCUCUCCAAUACCACCGGGAACACUACAUCAUGUGUUAUGUGGAAAAUAUUCCAUCAAUAUUGCACAAAUGAUGUUGGCAUCAAUUUUAAAAUCCAUCUAAGACUUGGCCCCCGUGCUAUCCGCCCACUACUAAAAUCGAACUCAGGACACAGAGCAACGUUACGUCACAAUUACUUUACCUCAACCGGUCAAGCUCUCUUUAAUACCAUACCAAAAUACGUCAAAAUGGAAAUGGAUCCCAUAAAAUUCAAAUGUUCACUGCACAAAUUUCUUCAAAAAAAUCCCAGACCAACCGCCUACACCCAGAUAUGUCUCCAACACUAAUAACUCUUUGCUAGAGUGAACCAUGGUGCCCAAUAUAUGGCUAAAAGACUUCACCAGGUGGUGCUAUUGAGUUAUACAUGGCCUGGGCCCAUACUGGCCGAAACCUGUCAAGGUUAUCAAAGUUAUAAUAAAGUGUAACCAAUGUUUUAAAAAUUACAACGAAAGAAUGUUUAAAUAAGAUGUUAGCAAUAAACAAAUAUAACACACACACACAUACACACAAAACAAUGAUUGCACAAUUUUAUUGGCCCAAAAAAAAAAGAAAGAAAAAAGUGCAUUAUAUUUAAUGAGAUGGAAAAAAAUUCUAACAAAGAUACAAAUCUGGGGAUAAAAGCAUCAGACUCUCUGGUUUAGUCCAAGUCAAGCAUUACACGUUUUCUGUUUAUGCAUAGUAUUGUAAGUUGGUUUUCUUCUUGGCUUGCACUUCAAUUAUUGCAUCCAUAUAAUCUUCAUGAAUCAAUUCUUUUGCUUCUCUUCUCAAAGCAAUCAUA